rnacentral:lncRNA from 1 species
UUGGAAAUUUGUUUUUCUUUUAUUUUUCCUUUUUAUUUAUAAUAUUUCUCGUGAUUCUUUUUUUUUAAAUCUAAUAGAUUUCCUUCUAGAUCGAUGGAACUCAUAGACUUGUAUGUCCGUUUCAUUUAUUUUAGGGAAAUUGAUAUUUAAAUGAGCACAAUUCAUUUAUUUUAGAGAUGUGAAGCUCAAAUCCGUCACUUGCAGCUCUGGAGUGGAGCACCACACAAGCACCGAUUGUGAAAGUAGGAGUCGUAAUCGAAGCUCUGCAACUUCCCACCCACCGGAAUCUUACCACACAAACGAUUGUAACUCACGUUCAGGAACUGUAAAUCCAGAGAAGUCAUCAUCUCCGGCAGGCUCCCGGCGAUCUUGUUAUGCGAAAGGUCCAACGACGUCAAACUCUUCGGGAAUUCCACUCUCGAAAGAUCAAACUGGAACAAGUUCCGUGAGAAGUCAACGAUCUGUGUUGACUUAUUGGCAUUGAAGAAUAUUGACAGGUCACCCUCAAGCUUGUUACGCGAUAAGUCCAUGACGUUGGGGUCGAAUCCUCUGAAAGAAUAUGGGAUUUUCCCGGAAAGUUGGUUGUGUGAGAGGUGUAGACCUGGGGUAGAGCCGGCGAAUUUUCCGAAGGAGUCAGGGAUUGGGCCGGUGAGGUGGUUCCGGUCGAGAUGGAGUGCGCCGAGGUUGGGGAGGAGAGAGAGGCUGCCGGGAAUGGGUCCAGAUAGGUUAUUGAAGGAGAGGUCGAGGUACGUGAGGUUCUUAAGCUCGCUGAAGAACGCCGGCACGGGACCGGAGAGGUUG